rnacentral:misc_RNA from 1 species
CUGCAGCCCGACUUGAGUGGAAAUCCUUUUUUGCUUGCAAUCAAUUUCUAUUUAGCUGAAAUCUUCGAGCAAAAAAGAUUGGGAACCCUUCGACAAGCU